GUAGUUAGAAUUAAAAUUGUAUAUGAUAUAUUUAUAUAUAUAUAUUUUGGAUAUGCAUGAGAUCUAAGUCUCUUAUUUAAAUUAUAUUAAAUCUUAAUGGUGAAGUAUUAAGAACACUACCCAUGCCUUCCUUCAUGCUAAGCCAGUAUUAUGUCAAGAACUAUAGUAGGCUUGUUGUGCUAUCCACAAGACUUACUAUGGAGACUGAUUUGAUACUG
rnacentral:lncRNA from 1 species